ensembl:lncRNA
UGAGGAGGUGCUAGGAGGAGCCUUCGGGGUGAUAGCGGUGCAAUGGCAAGGAGAGGAAUGUCCAUCAGCAUCAAGGUUUCUCAGGAGGCAGAGCACUGUGUGCCCUCAUUUCCCCCUGAAGCCCUACAGGACGUUGCCCUGUAGCAAUGCUUCACACAGACCGCUCCUGGACUGGCACUACAGCCCUGCAGAGAGCUUGGCUGGAGAAACACAGCCCUGAUCAGCCUAUCCAUGGCCUCGUGGAUGGAGGCUUAUUUUUCAGGCAAGGUUUCCCUGCCUGUGUGAGAACCAUGGGAUGCCCCGGAUACCAAAAGCCCAAGAGGAGGGGGUGAGGAUGAAGGCUAAGAUCCAAAACCCAGGAGGACUUUCACCUGCUCCAGCCUGUGCAAGGCUUUGACCACAGGAAUAUGACCGUGGAGGUGACAUUUACAUUUAAACACAGAUAGCUUGUUUGCAGGUAGCUGAAACAAAAUCUCCUGCCACAGCCCUGACCUGUAUCCCCGAACAAAGCAUCCCUUAUUCAGUGGAUAAGCAAAGGGGAACAUCGGUUUUCAGAUUAUCUGCAUCCCAGCGUUCCCUCGGAGGGGGACAUGGCGAUGGAAGGUCUCUGUUCGGUGACCCAACAACAGGGCCUUUAUUGCCAGGCAGGGAUGAAAGGCCCAUCACAGCUGCUGGCUCAGCCCGUCCGUGACAGAGCGUGUUUGCACAAACAAUGCUGAAAUUAAAGCCCCCGAGUUCAAAACCUCAUUGUCUGAAAAGCACUUCAUGAAUCCAUCCCCCUCCUUUUCUAAUAAAAAAGGGAUGCGUUUUCUUCCUGCCGCGACAGAAGGUAGUUCUACAUCAUGCUGGUCCUACAAGUGUUGGUAAAUUGCUUUUUGAUGGGUGAAGCAAAGCGUGUGUGGGGUGCCCAUGGACUGGCUGGUGGUGAGUGAGAGUGGUGGUGAAUGGAGCUCCUUCCAGUUGGUGACUGGUCAUGAGUGGUGUUCCCCAGGGGUCGGUGUGGGGCCCGUGCUCUUCAAUAUCUCUACUGAUGGCCUGGAUGAGGGCACUGAGUGCACCCUCAGUACGUUUGCAGAUAGAUGACACCAAGCUGGGGAAAGUGUGGGUCUGCCUGGGGUUAGGAAGGCCCUACGGAGGGAUCUGGGCAGGCUGAUCACUGGGCUGAGGCCAAUGGGAUGGAGUUCAAGAAGAUCGAGUGCCGGGUCCUGUGCUUUGGCCACAGCAACCCCAUGCAAUGCUGCAGGUGUGGGACAGUGGCUGGAAGCUGUGGGAGGAAAAGGAGCUGGGGCUUAUCUGCCCUAUCAGGAUCUGAAUGUAAGAUAUGGGAAAGACAAAGUCCUCCUUGCAGAACUAGCCAGCUCCUGGGCUCACGGAGAAGAUUCCGAGCAGAGCAGAGGGAUAAGAAUAAGAAUUGGUUUUUCCCAAAGGCAAAAUGAGUCGAAGGUCAGAGCUGCCCCACGUGCUGCCCAUCCCUGCUUGGAGCAGCUCAAGAUUUCUGGCCCCAGAUCUUCCAAGGAGAUUUUUACCAGGCAGUUCAUAGUGUCACGUCAAGAGCUGAGACCACCCAGCUCUUCCCGAUGCUCUGUUUGUGGUCUCUCAUCACCAAAGUGCCAUGCUCACAGCCCAGAUGGGUUUACGUCUGUUUUAGAGGCCAGAGGCCAGAGUGAUCUCCCAGAAGAAAUCUAAGCAGGGUGUGAAAUAACAGGAGGAUGCAAAGAGCCUGGACAAAGGAUGUCAUUCUGCAAGCCAAGCUGUAUUGGCAGAGCUCCUGCUACCUCUUCAUGGUCACCAGCAGGGAAAUGGACCCACUUGACUGGCUGCACUGGUUGGGCCAGGAUUAGCUGCAAAAGCUUCUUGUCCCUGGGCUUCCAUGGUGCCGGGGCAGGGCAAAACCCAAAUUAACUUCAGCAAUAAGCAAACAAAUCCCUAACGAUGGAGGAGGGGCAGGGCUGAGUGCACAGCUGGGCAGAGCAGAGAUGACUUCUCAACCUGUGGUCAGAGCAGGGCUGGGUACAGCAUCAUCAGAGCAUCCUGUAUUCCUAACGCAGGAGCACGGGCUGCACCCUGGCUGCGGGGCGAGACGGUGUCCUAUUAAUUGAUUUUGCCAACCUCAGAAGUUGAAAAGCAUUUUGCCUUCAUCCUCUGGAAUGCAAAACGCAUCCUCUUCCUCUCCAACCACAGUGGGUUCCACGGAGCAGAGAGCUGAUUCGUUUAGUUAAAACAGAUUAAAAUAGCUCGAGGAUCUUCAUGUUCAGUGAGCAAUGCUGGGGACAAGCAGGAGGACGCUGCAGGCACACUCCAUACAUCGUGCCAGUAAGUCCCAACCAUCUCCCCAGCACGGUUUGGACUCACCCAAAAGACAGUGGAGCCCAUGUAAAAAUCCUCCCUUCAAUCCAGGUUUUUAAAACCCCCAAAGAGCCCAUUUGGACCCAUUUCAUGAGCUGUCUCACAGCAGAGGGUGG